rnacentral:rRNA from 1 species
AUUGAACGCUGGCGGCAGGCCUAACGCAUGCAAGUCGGGCGGAUGAAGGGAGCUUGCUCCUGGAUUCAGCGGCGGACGGGUGAGUAAUGCCUAGGAAUCUGCCUGGUAGUGGGGGAUAACGUCCGGAAACGGGCGCUAAUACCGCAUACGUCCUGAGGGAGAAAGUGGGGGAUCUUCGGACCUCACGCUAUCAGAUGAGCCUAGGUCGGAUUAGCUAGUUGGUGGGGUAAAGGCCUACCAAGGCGACGAUCCGUAACUGGUCUGAGAGGAUGAUCAGUCACACUGGAACUGAGACACGGUCCAGACUCCUACGGGAGGCAGCAGUGGGGAAUAUUGGACAAUGGGCGAAAGCCUGAUCCAGCCAUGCCGCGUGUGUGAAGAAGGUCUUCGGAUUGUAAAGCACUUUAAGUUGGGAGGAAGGGCAGUAAGUUAAUACCUUGCUGUUUUGACGUUACCAACAGAAUAAGCACCGGCUAACUUCGUG